rnacentral:lncRNA from 1 species
AAAGUUUAAAGCACUUGUAGGACUUCUAUUAAUCAAAUAUGCAACAAUCUUAACAGCCUCACCCCAAGAUAAUUUGGACAAACCUAAACUUAAAAGCAUGCAUCUAACUUUAUUCAAUAAAGUCUUAUUCAUUCUUUUUGCAAUGUCAUUUUGUUAGGGAUGUAGGUAAUAGUUUUAUGUAUUAAAAUGCCAUGUAAUUUAAAAAAAAAUCAUUAAACUCAUAAUUGCAAAAUUCUAGGCCAUUGUCUGUUCUUAAAGUCUUAAUUUUCCAAUUAGUUUGAUUUUUCAAUUUCGGUUUUCUAAUCUUUAAAAGUAGUGAAUGUUUCAUCUUUGGUUUUUAAUAGAAAGACCCAAAUUUUCCUUGAAAAAUCAUCAACUAUCAAAAGUUAGUAUUUAUGACUGGACAAUGUAGGGGUGGAUGCAGGACCCCACAAAUCAGUAUGUAAGUACACUAGAAUUUGCUUUGAUUUAUGAGUACCAGUGAGAAAAGGUAACUUAACUUGUUUUCCAAUCAAACACUGUUCACAAUUAGACAAUUUACCAAUAUUUCAUUUUCCAAAAGCACCUUUAUUUUGAAGAGCCUUUAAACUUUUCAACCCAAUGUAACCAAUUCUACAAUGCCAUAGUUUUGCAAGAUUAAAUGCAUUAUCUAAAUCUACUGCUAAUAGACCCAAUAAAGGUUUUGCAUUUAGAAAGUAUAAACCACGUCUCUUCAGGAUAGAAGUGAUUAAAUCACUACUUCUAAAGAUUUUUAUGUGUCAUUGACCCAAUUUUAUAUCAAACUCCAUGCAUCCAACAUUCCUAAAGAUACAAGGUUUCUUUCUAAUUCACGAAGAAAUCUAACAACCUUUAAAACUUUUUUUUUUUUUUUUGCCAUUUUCCAAAAGCAAUUUUAUUGUUCCAAUACCUUUUACUUUUACAUGUCAUGUUAUUUCCCAUGAUAACUUGGCCCCCUUUAGUUUGUUCAAAGUCCAAUUUUUAUUUAUUAUUAUUAUUUUGUUAGAGCACAUUUGGAAAGAGCAACGUAAGUCUAGAUUCUUGACUUAGAUUUCUUUCAACAUUUACAAGAAUCAUGCCAUUAUCCAUAAGUUGCUUAUCAUAG